rnacentral:rRNA from 1 species
UACAGAGGUCUCAAGCGUUGUUCGGAUUCAUUGGGCGUAAAGGGUGUGUAGGUGGCGCGCUAAGUCGGGUGUGAAAUUUCGGAGCUUAACUCCGAAACUGCAUUCGAUACUGCCGUGCUUGAGGACUGGAGAGGAGACUGGAAUUUACGGUGUAGCGGUGAAAUGCGUAGAUAUCGUAAGGAACGCCAGUGGCGAAAGCGAGUCUCUGGGCAGCAUCUGACACUGAGGCACGAAGGCCAGGGGAGCAAACGGG